CUCUCUCUCUCUCCAUCCUCAGGCCUUUGACCUCAAGCCAAUGACGGAGCAAUUUAAGACACACGGAGCAGUUGAACCUGCCAAAGAAAAACAUCUGCUGGGGUGACUCCAUAGCAACUUGGCAUCCAAUCAAUAUUUGCCCUCCCCCCACCCAGGACCUGCUGGAGAUGGUGGGAAACUUGCCUUUUGUUUGGAUCUACAAUCAUCUGGAUCUUGACGGAGGAAACAUUACGCCACAAGAGGAGAGAUGGGCAUAAUGAAGGCAGUUUGACACGAGAGUUCACUAAAGGUUGGAUGGACUGAGACACAACACAAUGGAACGAUGAUUGCAUCAUCUGCUCUGAUGGCAGCCAUGGCAACAAUAGAGAUGGUGACCUGGAGGUACGGGGGGGGCGUCGAGGACUGACCCUCUGCGAUGACCUCUGCUCGGGAAAGGGCAAGCUCAGGCAGCAGUCGGGGCGUCGGGGGCCCUGAACCCUCCAU